AAGAGACGUUGCCCUUCGGGGUAUACCUCCCACCCUUUGUUUAUUAUACCUUUGUUGCUUUGGCGGGGCCCGUCCUCGGACCACCGGCUUCUGCUGGUCAGUGCCCGCCAGAGGACCUAAAACUCUGUUUGUUAAUAUUGUCUGAGUACUAUAUAAUAGUUA
rnacentral:misc_RNA from 1 species